UGAGUAACGCGUAUCCAACCUUCCCGUUACUGCGGGAUAACCUGCCGAAAGGCAGACUAAUACCGCAUGUUCUUCGAUGACGGCAUCAGAUUCGAAGCAAAGAUCCGUCGGUAACGGAGGGGGAUGCGCCUGAUUAGCUAGUUGGCGGGGCGACGGCCCACCAAGGCGACGAUCAGUAGGGGUUCUGAGAGGAAGGUCCCCCACAUUGGAACUGAGACACGGUCCAAACUCCUACGGGAGGCAGCAGUGAGGAAUAUUGGUCAAUGGGCGGAAGCCUGAACCAGCCAAGUAGCGUGCAGGAUGACGGCCCUACGGGUUGUAAACUGCUUUUAUGCGGGGAUAAAGUGAGGGACGCGUCCCUUUUUGCAGGUACCGCAUGAAUAAGGACCGGCUAAUUCCGUGCCAGCAGCCGCGGUAAUACGGAAGGUCCGGGCGUUAUCCGGAUUUAUUGGGUUUAAAGGGAGCGUAGGCUGGAGAUUAAGUGUGUUGUGAAAUGUAGACGCUCAACGUCUGAAUUGCAGCGCAUACUGGUUUCCUUGAGUACGCACAACGUUGGCGGAAUUCGUCGUGUAGCGGUGAAAUGCUUAGAUAUGACGAAGAACUCCGAUUGCGAAGGCAGCUGAUGGGAGCGCAACUGACGCUUAAGCUCGAAGGUGCGGGUAUCAAACAGGAUUAGAUACCCUGGUAGUCCGCACAGUAAACGAUGGAUGCCCGCUGUUGGUACCUGGUAUCAGCGGCUAAGCGAAAGCAUUAAGCAUCCCACCUGGGGAGUACGCCGGCAACGGUAAACUCAAAGGAAUGACGG
rnacentral:rRNA from 1 species